CCUGUAUCUCCAUGCUGUCUCCUGUCUCAGUACUGCCUGUUCUUCAUGCUGCCUCCAUGCUGCCUGUUCUUCUAUGCUGCCUCCAUGCUGCUGAUGGGAGUGAUCAUGUAGUAGCAGCUCAUUCCAGCCUCUCCUGUAUCUCCAUGCUGCCUCCUGUCUCAGUACUGCCUGUUCUCCAUGCUGCCUGUUCUGCUAUGCUGC